rnacentral:lncRNA from 1 species
UUGGCGUCUGGCUCGCUGUGCUUCCUUCCCCAGCAUCCACACAAAGCUCACAUCCAAGUUCCCAGCAUUCCCCUGGGGUGGACCGCGAUAUCCAUGCAUCCUUCCAUGCUGCUGCAGACUGAAUGGGACCUUCGGGGGACCCUAGGCUUCCCAAGAUAGGUACCUGGGCGUGGCUUUUCCUGACAAACAUUUUUCUUUUCUUUUUACAGAUGGAAGCACUAAUUAAGACAUUUGAAUGUCUUCCAUAUUCCUAAUUCUUUGUUCUUUUCCUUUAUGUAACAGAGAUGAUCCUGCCUAGCGCAUUACCAGCUGGCCGAGUAAACAUCGAGAGACUAUAAGGAUAUUUUAUUUUAAUUGCCUGAGCCUCAGGAUUAUGGAAUCAAGAUGGAAGGGGAGGAUUCUGAAACAGGGUGGCAGUCAGGUGUGGGGGAGGGGCGGUGUGGGCUCCCUAAGACAAGCUGGUGGUCAGACUUCCUAUUGGUCAGGAGCUCUUGACCUUGACCCAGGAGAGACUGAGAAGAAUUUGGAGGAGGCCAAGCUGCUGUCCUGUUGACAAGAGGGCAGGUUCCAAGCCAGUCAAUUAAACACAUUUCUCCUUAAUAAAUGUAGCAACUGGCAUGAAAAUAUGUCUUAUUUUCGAAGAUGCAUGAAUCAGUCAGUUUGGCAAGGGGCCCAAGAGGCAAGAGCAGUCUGAGCUGUCAACUCAGCUCUCUGCUGUUUUCCAUGGAUUUCUACCUUCUCAGCCUUCUCUUCUGCCUCUUCCUGCCAGCAGUUGUUGAGCGCAGCCUGGUCCUUAGCUCUCACGGCUCCUUCUCCCUCUGGCCAUCUGCAGGCUGGUGACCA